UAGAUUAAAGUCCGCCGGUUUGGACAGCUAGCUGUUAACUAGUUUUUGUGGGAUCAAGGCCUGCUAAUCUAG
rnacentral:tRNA from 1 species